rnacentral:lncRNA from 1 species
UUAGUAUGAUAAGCAGGACUAAAUGCUUAAUUGUGUAUCAUUUGUGGUAGAUCAUUAACCUUUGUGAUAUUUUGAGCCUAAUAAUGGGUAACGUUCAAAAAUCCAUAUUUUUCUUUCUUGUGUGAUUUCACUCAUAUCUGUUAGUCUCUAGAACUUGAUCUGACUCUUUUUAGAACUGUUGAUUACUUGUGCAUACUGAUAUGAUAAAUGCAAGUUGUUUAUGUUUUUUUCAUUAGCCAGUUAGUCAAAAAGUCAACCCUGAAUAAUAUCAUCCCUUGUUUGAAAAUCCUUUGAGCCUAUUUAUCUCAUUCUUUGUUUGAAACUCAUUACAAGCCUAAGAGUGAAAAAUAAUGUCAUCACCCUAUUUAAAGGAUUGAAAGAGUCUUGUUUGGAGUUGUGUUGGGUUGAAUAAUUAUAGUUGUGAUAUUUCAAAAGUUGGCAGGAAAUAGAAGAAAAAAAAUAGAAAUAGAAAAAAAGAGAAAAAGAGAAAA